rnacentral:rRNA from 1 species
AACGAACGCUGGCGGCAGGCUUAACACAUGCAAGUCGAACGCCCCGCAAGGGGAGUGGCAGACGGGUGAGUAACGCGUGGGAACGUACCUUUCGCUUCGGAAUAUUCCCGGGAAACUGGGAGCAAUGCCGAAUACGCCGUAUUGGGAAAGAUUUAUCGGCGAAAGAUCGGCCCGCGUUGGAUUAGGUAGUUGGCGGUGUAAUGGACCACCAAGCCUACGAUCUAUAGCUGGUCUGAGAGGAUGAUCAGCCACACUGGGACUGAGACACGGCCCAGACUCCUGCGGGAGGCAGCAGUGGGGAAUCUUGGACAAUGGGCGCAAGCCUGAUCCAGCCAUGCCGCGUGAGUGAAGAAGGCCUUAGGGUUGUAAAACUCUUUCGCCGGAGAAGAUAAUGACGGUAUCCGGAGAAGAAGCCCCGGCUAACUUCGUGCCAGCCGCCGCGGUAAAAC